AAAAUGCGUUUUAUUGCGCUCAGUCUAGCUUUGCUGAGCUUUGUCAGUGCCGCAUUCUUGCCUGGCAAGCUCAAAGGAAAUCUCGCACAAGGUGCUCGAAAUACUAAGAAACUCAUACAACAGGAAAAGGUAAAAUUCUACCUUUCAUUGGGCCAAUUAAUUGUUAGUUCAGAUGUU